GACGAACGCUGGCGGCGUGCUUAACACAUGCAAGUCGAACGGAAAGGCCCCUUUGGGGGUACUCGAGUGGCGAACGGGUGAGUAACACGUGAGUAACCUGCCCUUGACUUCGGGAUAACUUCAUGAAACUGGGGCUAAUACCGGAUAGGAAUCCUUGCUGCAUGGUGGGGGUUGGAAAGCUUCGGGGGUUUUGGAUGGACUCGCGGCUUAUCAGCUUGUUGGUGGGGUAGUGGCUUACCAAGGCUUUGACGGGUAGCCGGCCUGAGAGGGCGAACGGCCAAAUUGGGACUGAGAUACGGCCCAGAAUCCUACGGGAGGCAGGAGUGGGGAAUAUUGCACCAUGGGCGGGAGCCUGAUGCAGCAACGCCGCGUGCGGGAUGACGGCCUUCGGGUUGUAAACCGCUUUCAGCAGGGGCGAAGCUUGUGGUGACGGUACCUGCAGAAGAAGCACCGGCUAACUACGUG
rnacentral:rRNA from 1 species